GAUGAACGCUGGCGGCGUGCCUAAUACAUGCAAGUCGAGCGAACGGACGAGAAGCUUGCUUCUCUGAUGUUAGCGGCGGACGGGUGAGUAACACGUGGAUAACCUACCUAUAAGACUGGGAUAACUUCGGGAAACCGGAGCUAAUACCGGAUAAUAUUUUGAACCGCAUGGUUCAAGAGUGAAAGACGGUCUUGCUGUCACUUAUAGAUGGAUCCGCGCUGCAUUAGCUAGUUGGUAAGGUAACGGCUUACCAAGGCAACGAUGCAUAGCCGACCUGAGAGGGUGAUCGGCCACACUGGAACUGAGACACGGUCCAGACUCCUACGGGAGGCAGCAGUAGGGAAUCUUCCGCAAUGGGCGAAAGCCUGACGGAGCAACGCCGCGUGAGUGAUGAAGGUCUUCGGAUCGUAAAACUCUGUUAUUAGGGAAGAACAUAUGUGUAAGUAACUGUGCACAUCUUGACGGUACCUAAUCAGAAAGCAACGGCUAACUACGUG
rnacentral:rRNA from 1 species